rnacentral:rRNA from 1 species
GAAAGCGACGGGCUAUGUGGCGCGGUAAUGCGUGGGUCGCAAUGGUUGUCCGGAAUUAUGGGGCGUGAAGAGCGUGUAGGUGGCUUGGCGCGUCUGCCGUGAAAACCCGAGGCUGAACCUCGGGCGUGCGGUGGGUACGGUCAUGCUAGAGUGUGGUAGGGGAGACUGGAACUCCUGGUGUAGCGGUGAAAUGCGCAGAUAUCAGGAAGAACACCGAUGGCUAAGGCAGGUCUCUGGGCCAUUACUGACACUGAGAAGCGAAAGCAUGGGGAGCGAACAGGAUUAGAUACCCUUGUAGUC